rnacentral:rRNA from 1 species
ACAUGCAAGUCGAGCGAGCGAUGGAUAGCUUGCUUUCCAGAUCGAGUGGCGAACGGGUGAGUAACGCGUGAGGAACCUGCCUCAAAGAGGGGGACAACAGUUGGAAACGACUGCUAAUACCGCAUAAGCCCACGGCUCGGCAUCGAGCAGAGGGAAAAGGAGUGAUCCGCUUUGAGAUGGCCUCGCGUCCGAUUAGCUAGUUGGUGAGGUAACGGCCCACCAAGGCGACGAUCGGUAGCCGGACUGAGAGGUUGAACGGCCACAUUGGGACUGACACACGGCCCACACUCCUACGGAAGGCAGCAGUGGGGAAUAUUGCACAAUGGGGGAAACCCUGAUGCAACGACGCCGCGUGGAGGAAGAAGGUCUUCGGAUUGUAAACUCCUGUUGUUGAGGAAGAUAAUGACGGUACUCAACAAGGAAGUGACGGCUAACUACAUGCCAGCAGCCGCGGUAAAACUGUAGGUCACAAGCGUUGUCCGGAAUUACUGGGUGUAAAGGGAGCGCACGCGGGAGAACAAGUUGGAAGUGAAAUCCAUGGGCUCAACCCAUGAACUGCUUUCAAAACUGUUUUUCUUGAGGAAUGCAUAGGUACGCGCAAUUCCCGGUGUAGCGGUGGACUGCGUAGAUAUCGGGAGGAACACCAGUGGUGAAAGCAGCCUACUGGGCACCAACUGACGUUGUGGCUCGAAAGUGUGGGUAGCAAACAGGAUUAGAUACCCUGGUAGUCCACACUGUAAACGAUGAUUAGUAGGUGUUGGAGGAUUGACCCCUUCAGUGCCGCAGUUAACACAAUAAGUAAUCCACAUGGGGAGUACGGCCGCAAGGUUGAAACUCAAAGGAAUUGACGGGGGCCCGCACAAGCAGUGGAGUAUGUGGUUUAAUUAGACGCAACGCGAAGAACCUUACCAAGUCUUGACAUCCCUUGACGAACAUAGAAAUAUGUUUUCUCUUCGGAGCAAGGAGACAGGUGGUGCAUGGUUGUUGUCAGCUCGUGUGGUGAGAUGUUGGGUUAAGUCACGCAUCGAGCGCAACCCUUAUGGUCAGUUACUACGCAAGAGGACUCUGGCCAGAUUGCCGUUGACAAAACGGAGGAAGGUGGGGAUGACGUCAAAUCAUCAUGCCCUUUAUGACUUGGGGUACACACGUACUACAAUGGCGUUAAACAAAGAGAAGCAAGACCGCGAGGUGGAGCAAAACUCAGAAACAACGUCCCAGUUUGGAUUGCAGGUUGCAACUCGCCUGCAGGAAGUCGGAAUUGCUAGUAAUCGUGGAUCAGCAUGCCACGGUGAAUACGUUCCCGGGCCUUGUACACACCGCCCGUCACACCAUGAGAGCCGGGGGGACCAGAAGUCGGUAGUCUAACCGUAAGGAGGACGCCGCCGAAGGUAAAACUGGUGAUUGGGGU